CCUACGGGGGGCUGCAGUGGGGAAUAUUGGACAAUGGGGGAAACCCUGAUCCAGCGAUGCCGCGUGAGUGAAGAAGGCCUUCGGGUUGUAAAACUCUUUUGGCAGGGAAGAUAAUGACGGUACCUGCAGAAUAAGCUCCGGCUAACUUCGUGCCAGCAGCCGCGGUAAUACGAAGGGAGCUAGCGUUGUUCGGAAUUACUGGGCGUAAAGGGCGCGUAGGCUGUUUUUUAAGUUAGAUGUGAAAGCCCAUGGCUCAACCAUGGAACUGCAUUUGA
rnacentral:rRNA from 1 species